rnacentral:rRNA from 1 species
UGGCGACCGGCGCACGGGUGCGUAACGCGUAUGCAACCUACCCAUAACAGGGGGAUAACACUGAGAAAUUGGUACUAAUACCCCAUAACAUCAGGACCGGCAUCGGUUCUGGUUGAAAACUCCGGUGGUUAUGGAUGGGCAUGCGUUGUAUUAGCUGGUUGGUGAGGUAACGGCUCACCAAGGCAACGAUACGUAGGGGGACUGAGAGGUUAACCCCCCACAUUGGUACUGAGACACGGACCAA